AUUGAACGCUGGCGGCAUGCUUUACACAUGCAAGUCGAACGGUAGCGCGUGCUUCGUCCUGGCGGCGAGUGGCGAACGGGUGAGUAAUGCAGCGGAACGUGCCCAGUAGUGGGGGAUAGCCCGGCGAAAGCCGGAUUAAUCCCGCAUACGCCCUGAGGGUGAAAGCGGGGGACCGAAAGGCCUCGCGCUAUUGGCGCCGCCGAUGUCGGAUUAGCUAGUUGGUGGGGUAAAGGCUUACCAAGGCGACGAUCCGUAGCUGGUCUGAGAGGACGACCAGCCACACUGGGACUGAGACACGGCCCAGACUCCUACGGGAGGCAGCAGUGGGGAAUUUUGGACAAUGGGGGCAACCCUGAUCCAGCCAUGCCGCGUGCGGGAAGAAGGCCUUCGGGUUGUAAACCGCUUUUGUUCGGGAAGAAAACCUCUGGGCUAAUACCCCGGGGGGAUGACGGUACCGGAAGAAUAAGCACCGGCUAACUACGUG
rnacentral:rRNA from 1 species